CCUACGGGUGGCAGCAGUGAGGAAUAUUGGUCAAUGGACGAGAGUCUGAACCAGCCAAGUAGCGUGAAGGAUGACUGCCCUAUGGGUUGUAAACUUCUUUUAUAUGGGAAUAAAACGUUCCACGUGUGGGAUUUUGUAUGUACCAUAUGAAUAAGGAUCGGCUAACUCUGUGCCAGCAGCCGCGGGAAUACGGAGGAUCCGAGCGUUAUCCGGAUUUAUUGGGUUUAAAGGGAGCGUAGGUGGAUUGUUAAGUCAGUUGUGAAAGUUUGCGGCUCAACCGUAAAAUUGCAGUUGAAACUGGCAGUCUUGAGUACAGUAGAGGUGGGCGGAAUUCGUGGUGUAGCGGUGAAAUGCUUAGAUAUCACGAAGAACUCCGAUUGCGAAGGCAGUUCACUGGACUGCAACUGACACUGAGGCUCGAAAGUGUGGGUAUCAAACAGGAUUAGAUACCCCAGUAGUC
rnacentral:rRNA from 1 species